UACAGAGGGGGCAAGCGUUGUUCGGAAUUACUGGGCGUAAAGGGCGCGUAGGCGGCCUUCUAAGUCGAACGUGAAAUCCCCGGGCUCAACCCGGGAACUGCGUCCGAUACUGGAAGGCUUGAAUCCGGGAGAGGGAUGCGGAAUUCCAGGUGUAGCGGUGAAAUGCGUGGAUAUCUGGAGGAACACCGGUGGCGAAGGCGGCAUCCUGGACCGGCAUUGACGCUGAGGCGCGAAAGCCAGGGGAGCAAAGCGGG
rnacentral:rRNA from 1 species